AAGGAUCAUUAUUGAAUAAACCUGAUGUGACUGUUAGCUGGCUUUUCGAAGCAUGUGCUCGUCCGUCAUCUUUAAUCUCUCCACCUGCACAUAUUUGUAGUCUGGGAUACCUCGCGAGGCAGCUCGGAUUUUAGGAUCGCCGUGCUGUAAAAGUCAGCUUUCCUUUCAUUUCCAAGACUAUGUUUUUAUAUACACCAAAGUAUGUUUAAAGAAUGUCAUCAAUAGGAACUUGUUUCCUAUAAAAUUAUACAACUUUCAACAACGGAUCUCUUGGCUCUCGCAUCGAUGAAGAACUCAGCGAAAUGCGAUAAGUAAUGUGAAUUGCAGAAUUCACUGAAUCAUCCAAUCUUUGAACGCACCUUGCGCUCCUUGGUAUUCCGAGGAGCAUGCCUGUUUGAGUGUCAUUAAAUUCUCAACCUUCCAGCUUUUAUUACCUUGGUUAGGCUUGGAUGUGGGGGUUGUGGGCUUCAUUAAUGAGGUCAGCUCUCCUUAAAUGCAUUACCGGAACUUUUGUGGACCGUCUAUUGAUGUGAUAAUUAUCUACGCCGUGGAUGUGAAGCAGCUUUAUGAAGUUCAGCUUCUAAUCGUCCAUUGACUUGGACAAUUUUUGACAAUUUGACCUCAAAUCAGGUAGGACUACCCGCUGAACUUAA
rnacentral:rRNA from 1 species